rnacentral:rRNA from 1 species
UCCACGCUGUAAACGAUGAUCACUCGCUGUUGGCGAUACACUGUCAGCGGCUAAGCGAAAGUGAUAAGUGAUCCACCUGGGGAGUACGUUCGCAAGAAUGAAACUCAAAGGAAUUGACGGGGGCCCGCACAAGCAGUGGAGUAUGUGGUUUAAUUCGACGCAACGCGAAGAACCUUACCAGGGCUUGACAUCGCUUGACCGCUCUAGAGAUAGAGCUUUCCCUUCGGGGACAAGUAGACAGGUGGUGCAUGGU